AUUGAACGCUGGCGGCAUGCUUUACACAUGCAAGUCGAACGGCAGCGCGGGCUUCGGCCUGGCGGCGAGUGGCGAACGGGUGAGUAAUACAUCGGAACGUGCCCAGUAGUGGGGGAUAGCUCGGCGAAAGCCGGAUUAAUACCGCAUACGACCUGAGGGUGAAAGCGGGGGAUCUUCGGACCUUGCGCUAUUGGAGCGGCCGAUGGCCGAUUAGCUAGUUGGUGGGGUAAAGGCCUACCAAGGCGACGAUCUGUAGCUGGUCUGAGAGGACGACCAGCCACACUGGGACUGAGACACGGCCCAGACUCCUACGGGAGGCAGCAGUGGGGAAUAUUGGACAAUGGGCGAAAGCCUGAUCCAGCAAUGCCGCGUGUGUGAUGAAGGCCUUCGGGUUGUAAAGCACUUUUGGCGGGAACGAAAAGGACUGUGCCAAUACCACGGUUCGAUGACGGUACCCACAGAAUAAGCACCGGCUAACUACGUG
rnacentral:rRNA from 1 species